UACGUAGGGUCCAAGCGUUGUCCGGAAUUAUUGGGCGUAAAGGGCUCGUAGGCGGUUUGUCGCGUCGGGAGUGAAAACUCAGGGCUCAACCCUGAGCGUGCUUCCGAUACGGGCAGACUAGAGGUAUUCAGGGGAGAACGGAAUUCCUGGUGUAGCGGUGGAAUGCGCAGAUAUCAGGAGGAACACCGGUGGCGAAGGCGGUUCUCUGGGCCGAUACUGACGCUGAGGAGCGAAAGCGUGGGGAGCAAACAGG
rnacentral:rRNA from 1 species